GCACAAAGAGUUCUAAUAGUCCUUGAACUCAAGUCUGUGCUUUCGUUGCGUCAUUCAUACCAGGACUCAGUGAUAUAGAUCCCAACAACUUUAUGAUUCUACACUGACAUGGAGAGGAAAUGGUUGGGCCAAGGUCUCUGACCUGACAAUUGUGACAAUGGGAAGUGUGACCACAGGCGUCCGUUCCCCCGGAAAAGCACGAUGACGGCUCCUAUCCAUAUAAACGGCACUGACGAGAGGAGCAGAACAGGGACAUCCACAGCCAUGCAUCUGGACUGCUCCUACCAUAAAUGGGACAACUCAGAGCAGCGCAUCUGGGAGAGGCGGUAAAGCCCCUGCCUGCCCUGACAGAGAUAAGGAACCUAACGCACAGUAUGUCGAAGGAGCUGGCUGAGGUGAGAAGGGACCAUGACAGACUCCAGAAGGUCUUGAGCAGGGUGCAGGAUGAGUUACAGGACACCACAGAUAAGUGGAGAAGGCGACAGUCAUCCUGCUCCCUACUGUUAUCUGAUGGUCUGGAGCAGACACCAACUAAUACCAAUUAAUACCCGAGCUUGUGCUUUACCUGUUAGGACAUUGAAUUCUUGUGGAUCAGUGACUUGGAAACAGGAAAGCUGCUGAUCCCAAACCAGGGCUGAUGGAGGCGAUUGCUAAGUUCAGAUUCUAAUAUCCUCAUUUCUCAUCUUGUCCUGCCGCUUGAUAUG